UCUCUCCUUCCCCACCCCACCCCCACCCUACCCCCUCUCUCCGCCCCCAAUCCCGAUCUNCCUCCCCCCCUCUCGCCCCUCUCAUGCAUGAGAGGUCGCCGGGGCCAUCGCUAGCCGCCACGCGCCUCCCCUCCCCCGCCUCCCUGCUCCUGCUCCUGCUCCUCUCGCUGUCCCUGCUCGCCGGGCGGUCGCACGGCUGGUGGUGCCGCGAGGACGACGAGGGGUGCUCCCUGAUGGGGUUCAGGGGCGACGACUUGCCGGUCACCGGUGGCGGUAUCAGUGAAAAAGGCAGGUUCAGUUAUGGGUUUGCAAGCUGUGCUGGGAAAAGGGCAUCUAUGGAGGAUUUCUACGAGACAAGAGUGGAUGAUGUUGAUGGAGAGACUGUUGGGUUGUUUGGCGUAUUUGAUGGUCACGGCGGAGCUCGAGCAGCUGAAUAUGUGAAGAAGCACCUUUUCAGCAAUUUAAUCAAGCAUCCGAAAUUCAUGACAGAUACAAAGGCUGCUAUUGCUGAAACAUUCAAUCAUACCGAUUCAGAGUUCCUGAAAGCUGAUAGUAGCCACACCAGAGAUGCUGGCUCAACUGCCUCAACAGCUAUUCUUGUCGGUGGUCGCUUGGUGGUUGCAAAUGUUGGUGAUUCUAGAGCUGUUGUUUCUAAAGGAGGGAAGGCUAUUGCGGUUUCCAGGGAUCACAAACCUGACCAGACAGACGAGAGACAGAGAAUUGAGGAAGCUGGAGGCUUUGUGAUGUGGGCUGGGACAUGGCGUGUUGGUGGUGUUCUUGCUGUUUCUCGAGCAUUUGGUGACAAACUUUUAAAGCAGUAUGUUGUCGCUGAUCCAGAGAUCAAGGAGGAGGUAGUUGACAGCUCACUUGAAUUCCUUAUCCUUGCUAGUGAUGGGCUAUGGGAUGUUGUAACUAACGAUGAAGCUGUUGCCAUGGUCAAGCCAAUAGAAGAUCCUGAGCAAGCGGCGAAGGGACUACUUCAAGAAGCUUCUCAAAGGGGCAGUGCUGACAACAUCACUGUCGUCAUUGUUCGCUUCUUGGACGGAACGACGACGUCUGCCGGAGAUGGACCAAGUGAGGAGGUCGCCAAGGACCAAAGUGAGGAGGCCGCCAAGGACCAAUCUUCAUAGUUCUUGUUCCUCCACGGCGUUGUAUCUGCUGUUGUAUCUGAUGCUCGAAGUAGAUGUCAUGUGGCGGCGCCCUCCCGUGCUGCGAAACCAAACUGACUUGGCCUGAGUUUCGUCGUUGUUCCAUGCUCCCGGCUAUCCUAGAUGGUAGGUAAUGUCGGAACACAGGGGGAUGGUGAGGCAGUGUUGUUACCAUAUGAUCCAAGGGGUACUUUUUCUUUCUUCAUGCUGAACCUUGUACUGUGUAGCUUCUAUGCUGGUGUUUCAUGCUAGUGAUUUUUAGCAGUAAAUGCAUGUAACCUGACUAUUUGAAUGAUUUGAACAAAGUUGUGCUCAUGGUGUCACACUACAGAGUUCGGAGCUCGAUUUUAUUUAAGCUUUCCUUGCGGAGCC
rnacentral:rRNA from 1 species